rnacentral:rRNA from 1 species
UACGGAGGGUGCAAGCGUUAGUCGGAAUUACUGGGCGUAAAGGGUGCGUAGGUGGGGAUGUAAGUCAGAUGUGAAAUACCGUUGCUCAACAACGGCCGUGCAUCUGAAACUGCGUUUCUAGAGGGAUAGCGGAGAAAACGGAAUUCCACGUGUAGCGGUGAAAUGCGUAGAUAUGUGGAAGAACACCUGUGGCGAAAGCGGUUUUCUAGCUUAAACCUGACACUGAGGCACGAAAGCAAGGGGAGCAAACAGG